rnacentral:lncRNA from 10 species
UCAAGAAGAAAGUACAUUAAGCCACCUUCUUCCCAGGAAAGAGAGAAAAGCGUCAAGUCCGUGGGGUGAGGAGAUGGUGCCUCAGAUGAGGAGGCUGAGUCCCAGGGUACACUCAGACCAGGAAGGCAGGCAUCUCAGCAGUGACAAGAACAGGCUAAAGGACAAGAGCCCUACUCCAAUAUUCUGAGUUUGUGAGAACCCCAGGAUUUUACCACCCAGG